rnacentral:lncRNA from 1 species
AUCUCCUCAUCAACAACCUCCUUCUAAACCCGUCAUACCCUGUGGAAGUAAUCUCAAGGUCCAGAAUGGCGGUGAAUACUAGGAACACAAUUGGUGUCGUUCUCCUCCUGGUCGUGAUGGUAGCGGCGGUAUCAACACAAGUGGCAACUGCCGAAGAGUUUUGUUGGGACAAAUGUAUCAAGCGUUGCAAGGGAGAACUAGAGGUUUGCAGCCCAAAGUGCAUUCAUUUUUGCAACUAUCAAUCCGGAGCCGUAGGAUAUGUUAAGUGGGCUGCCGAUAAACUGAAGGAGGCUGCUGCUGCCCCGCCCGAAAAAGGCCGUCCUCCUCAAGAAUGAAGCUCAAACGUACUUAGAACGUGCCAAUGCCCUCAACGAGAAAGCCGGGACCCCGUGAGUGUGCACCCUUCCGUCUAUAGGUGUCGCUGUUGUUAUGGUGUCUAUAAAUGUUUUGUUUAUUUAAAUUGUUGUGGUUCCAUCCCAUUUUUUUUGUUUCUUUGUUAAAGUAAUAUCUUUUGUAUUAUGAUGACAAGCUUGUUCAAGUGAGUCAGUUUCUCUUGUCG